UACGUAGGCAGCAAGCGUUGUUCGGAAUUACUGGGCGUAAAGAGUGUGUAGGCGGUGCUCCCAGUCUGUUGUGAAAUCUCCCGGCUUAACUGGGAGGGUGCAGCGGAAACUAGAGUGCUAGAGGGUGGGAGAGGUAAGCGGAAUUCCUGGUGUAGCGGUGAAAUGCGUAGAUAUCAGGAGGAACACCUGUGGUGUAGACAGCUUACUGGACCACUUCUGACGCUGAGACACGAAAGCGUGGGUAGCAAACAGG
rnacentral:rRNA from 1 species